rnacentral:lncRNA from 1 species
GUUGGGGUGGAGUCCAUGCAAAUAGAUCAUUAUCAUAAAUUAUUAAGGAAUAAUAAAACUAGAAAAGCUCCAAUAUUCUGAUUUAGAAUUUUAAUAAUCCACCAAAGAAAUGCUGGUACUUUAGUAAAAAAAAAAACUAAAAACAAAACAGCCUCAAAAAUUGACUCAUUAAGUAUGGAAGUGGGAGAGGAUGGUCACAUAGUGACAAUUUUAUCCAUAUCCCUGGAAAACUGCAAUGACAUCGUUAGAUCCAUCCCAACUUAAGUCAGCUCUGAUUAGAUACCCCUCCCCAAACUCUCCAUGCCAGGGACUGAACCUAUAGCCUCCUGUGUGGGAGGAGAGCAUGCUACCACUGAACUAUGUCUGAGCAAGAUGGAUACUAUCACUGUCCUCUACUGGUCUGCAGGAUGAACCCAAGGACAGGCCUGGGCUUGUUCAACGCUGGCAGCUCAUCUGGGGCUUUGUGGCUGUCCCAUGACAUCUCAGCCAGAACACAUUCCAGAGAGCAAGUUAGCAAAGAGCAGCUCAGCUUCCGUGAUCUCUGCUGGCUGAUGAGGAGCGGGCUUUGUCCCAGGAAGGGACCAGGACCUGGGCACUGGC